rnacentral:snoRNA from 1 species
AAGACUAUACUUUCAGGGAUCAUUUCUAUAGUUCGUUUUAAGAAUGCUGGAUAGAUGUGGUAUUACUGAAAAACAAAUACAACCAAAUGAUUGUUUGGU